rnacentral:rRNA from 1 species
UUCCGUAGGUGAACCUGCGGAAGGAUCAUUAAAUUCAGUAGCUUGCUACUGUUAGGGGGGUCUAUUAGUCUGUAUAGUAUCACUACUGAUGAGCAGCACGACCUCCUGUCUAUACCCUUGUCUUUUGCGCACUCAUGUUUCCUCGGCGGCUUGAUACCCGCCGGCUGGAUCAAUCUAAAACCUUUUUAAUUUUCAAUCAGCGUCUGAAAAACCUAAUAAUUACAACUUUCAACAACGGAUCUCUUGGUUCUGGCAUCGAUGAAGAACGCAGCGAAAUGCGAUAAGUAGUGUGAAUUGCAGAAUUCAGUGAAUCAUCGAAUCUUUGAACGCACAUUGCGCCCCUUGGUAUUCCAUGGGGCAUGCCUGUUCGAGCGUCAUUUGUACCCUCAAGCUCUGCUUGGUGUUGGGUGUUUGUCCACUAUCGUGGACUCGCCUUAAAGUCAUUGGCAGCCAGUGUUUUGGUAUUGAAGCGCAGCACAUUUUGCGCCUCUAGCCUAGAACACUAGCGUCCAGUAAGCCUUUUUCCACUUUUGACCUCGGAUCAGGUAGGGAUACCCGCUGAAC